UCCUUGCAGUGCAAUGGAUAGUGCGUUGGACUUCUAAUCCAAAGGUCGUGGAUUCUAAUCCCACGUGGGAAG